GCAGAGGUUAGAUUGAGUGUUUCUGCACUCUUUCCUCUCAGACGCUCUUGCUCACCUUAAGACACACAUACAGUCACACACACACUCAGUCACACAGACACAAAGUCUCACACACACACAGUUACACAGACAGACACACAGACAGACACACAGACAGACACACAGUCACACACACAGAUGGUCACACAGACAGUCACACAGACACACAGUCAGACACACAGACAAACACACAGUCACACAGACAGACACACAGACAGUCACACAGACAGACAGUCACACAGACAGUCACACAGACAGACAGUCACACAGACAGACAGUCACACAGACACACAGUCACACACACACAGACAGUCACACAGACACACAGUCAGACACACAGACAGACACACAGACAGACACACAGACAGACAUACAGACACACAUACAAACACACAGACAGACACACAGUCACACACACACACACACACACACACACACACACACACACACAGACAGACACACAGUCAGACACACAGACACAGACACAGACAGACACACAUACAGACACACAGUCACACAGACAGACACACAUUCACACAAACAGGCACACAGUCACACAGACAGACACACACAGACAGACACACAGACAGACACACAGACAGACACACAGUCAGACACACAGACAGACACACAGUCACACACACAGACAGUCACACAGACAGACAGUCACACAGACAGUCACACAGACAGACAGUCACACAGACAGACAGUCACACAGACACACAGUCACACACACACAGACAGUCACACAGACACACAGUCAGACACACAGACAGACACACAGACAGACACACAGACAGACAUACAGACACACAUACAAACACACAGACAGACACACAGUCACACACACACACACACACACACACACACACACAGACAGACACACAGACACACAGUCAGACACACAGACACAGACACAGACAGACACACAUACAGACACACAGACAGACACACAUUCACACAAACAGGCACACAGUCACACAGACAGACACACACAGACAGACACACAGACAGACACACAGACAGACACACAGUCAGACACACAGACAGACACACAGUCACACAGACACACACACAGUCACACAGACACACAGUCACACAGACACACACACAGUCACACAGACACAGUCACACAGACAGACACACAGUCACACAGACACAGACAGACAGACAGACAGACAGACACACAGACACAGACAGACACACAGUCACAUAGACAGACAGACAUACACACAUACAGACACACAGACACACCAUCACACAGUUCCAGGUGUGUGUUAGUACACAGUUAACAAGUUCAAAUAUUAAAUAAUAUUAUUAUUAUUAUUAUUAUUAUUAUUAUUAUUAUAUUAAUGCCCAGUAUCUCAAGAAAUCCACGUCCA
rnacentral:lncRNA from 1 species